ensembl:lncRNA
AGUGGUGGAGUAAAGAACAUGUUGCAGAUAGAACCACACUGAGCUAGUGGUGGAUUACGGAACAUGUUGCAGAUAGAACCACACUGAGCUAGUGGUGGAGUAAAGAACAUGUUGCAGAUAGAACCACACUGAGCUAAUGGUGGAGUACGGAACAUGUUGCAGAUAGAACCACACUGAGCUAAUGGUGGAGUAUGGAACAUGUUGCAGAUAGAACCACACUGAGCUAGUGGUGGAUAAAGAACAUGUUGCAAAUAGAACCACACUGAGCUAGUGGUGGAGUACGGAACAUGUUGCAGAUAGAACCACACUGAGCUAGUGGUGGAGUAAAGAACAUGUUGCAGAUAGAACCACACUGAGCUAGUGGUGGAGUAAAGAACAUGUUGCAGAUAGAACCAGGCUGAGCUAGUGGUGGAGUACGGAACAUGUUGCAGAUAGAACCACGCUGAGCUUUGCUACUGAAUUAUUACAGAAGGAUCAGAAGACACACACACACACACUCUCUUUCUCUCUCUCUCUCUCUCUCUCUCUCUCUCUCUCUCUCCCUC